GAGAUAGAUCAGGCCUUCGGGACAGAAGAGACAGGUGGUGCAUGGUUGUCGUCAGCUCGUGUCGUGAGAUGUUGGGUUAAGUCCCGCAACGAGCGCAACCCUUAUCAUUAGUUGCUAACAUUCAGUUGAGAACUCUAAUGAGACUGCCAGUGAUAAACUGGAGGAAGGUGGGGAUGACGUCAAAUCAUCAUGCCCCUUAUGACCUGGGCUACACACGUGCUACAAUGGCCGGUACAAAGAGUUGCGAAACUGUGAAGUUAAGCUAAUCUCAUAAAGCCGGUCUCAGUUCGGAUUGUAGUCUGCAACUCGACUACAUGAAGUCGGAAUCGCUAGUAAUCGCGAAUCAGAAUGUCGCGGUGAAUACGUUCUCGAGUCUU
rnacentral:rRNA from 1 species